GCCGCCAUAGCUCAGUCGGUUAGAGCGUGGGUCUAAUAAGCCCAAGGUAGCAGGUUCGACCCAUGCUGGCGGCA
rfam:Ancylostoma ceylanicum strain HY135 Acey_s0285_scaf, whole genome shotgun sequence.